rnacentral:rRNA from 1 species
UACGUAGGGUGCGAGCGUUGUCCGGAAUUAUUGGGCGUAAAGAGCUCGUAGGCGGCUUGUCGCGUCGAAUGUGAAAACUCGGGGCUCAACCCCGCGCUUGCAUUCGAUACGGGCAGGCUCGAGUUCGGUAGGGGAGACUGGAAUUCCUGGUGUAGCGGUGAAAUGCGCAGAUAUCAGGAGGAACACCGGUGGCGAAGGCGGGUCUCUGGGCCGAUACUGACGCUGAGGAGCGAAAGCGUGGGGAGCGAACAGG